AGGUUUGAAGUGAGCCUAUUAGUUCAUCCACUUGAAUGUUGGCCAGAUCCUGAGAUUCUUCUAUUGCUGUUACUUUCAUGUCAAACCUCUUAGGUAGAUAUCUGAGGAUUUUGCUCACCAGCUUUUCAUCUGAUAAGGGUUCUCCCAAGGCAUCAAAUGAAUUUGCAAAUUCUAAAAUAUUCAUGUGAAAGUCAUGAAUAGUCUCUUCUUCCUUCAUACUCAGAUUUUCAAAGUUUGUGCGAAGCAUCUGAAGUUUGGACAGCUUUACCUUGUUGGUUCCUUCAUGUGCUUUCCUGAGUAUUUCCCACGCCUGUUUGGCCACAGUACAUCGUUUAACAAGUCUGAACAUGUUGAUGUCCACCCCAUUGAAUAU
rnacentral:lncRNA from 1 species